UACGAAGGGGGCUAGCGUUGUUCGGAUUUACUGGGCGUAAAGCGCGUGUAGGCGGGCCGUUAAGAUGGGGGUGAAAGCCCGGAGCUCAACUUCGGAAUUGCCUUCAUGACUGGCGGCCUGGACUCAAGGAGAGGCAAGUGGAAUUGCGAGUGUAGAGGUGAAAUUCGUAGAUAUUCGCAGGAACACCAGUGGCGAAGGCGACUUGCUGGACUUGUAGUGACGCUGAGACGCGAAAGCGUGGGGAGCAAACAGG
rnacentral:rRNA from 1 species